CACGAAGUUAGCCGGGGCUUCUUCUCCGGUUACCGUCAUUAUCUUCACCGGUGAAAGAGCUUUACAACCCUAGGGCCUUCAUCACUCACGCGGCAUGGCUGGAUCAGGCUUGCGCCCAUUGCCCAAUAUUCCCCACUGCUGCCUCCCGUAGGAGUCUGGGCCGUGUCUCAGUCCCAGUGUGGCUGAUCAUCCUCUCAGACCAGCUAUGGAUCGUCGCCUUGGUAGGCCUUUACCCCACCAACUAGCUAAUCCAACGCGGGCCGAUCAUUUGCCGAUAAAUCUUUCCCCUUUCGGGCUCAUACGGUAUUAGCACAAGUUUCCCUGAGUUAUUCCGUAGCAAAUGGUACGUUCCCACGCGUUACUCACCCGUCUGCCGCUCCCCUUGCGGGGCGCUCGACUUGCAUGUGUUAAGCCUGCCGCCAGCGUCGUUCUGUAGCCACGGAGUCAAACUAC
rnacentral:rRNA from 1 species